GUGCUUGUUUUAGCAGCACACACAAUAACAUGGGAUGAUACAGAGAAGAUUAGCAUCGCCCCUGAGCAAGGAUGACACUCCAAUUUGUGAGGCGUUCAAUAUUUUU